ACACGCACACACACAUAUAAAAGAUUACCUUAAUAUCUCCCAAUAACAUGAACUUGGUACACUGAGCUUGGUGAUGUAUCCUGCCCUUGUUCUCAAAUGGCUGUGGGCUCAAGUUUGAUCUUUUCUGGGGCCAUUGUGUGGGAGUGAGACUGAGGUAGGGCAGAUGCAGGCAACUACUGAAGAGGCCUGAAAGGGAGCAGGCAUCUCUUUAGCCCAAAUCUGCAGCAUUGGACAACCAAAGACAUUUCUGGAAUUGCUGGCAGUGACCUGAAAGUUUUGGCCAGCCUUGGGUCCCAGAAGUAUUCUGCUGUGUAUUUAAGCCAGAGCAGGCAAUUACCACUAGAUGGCAUCACAUUGCAGUGAGCCGGGUAAGUGUGAACUUUGUAACGUUGCCCCUCUCAGCCCCUGGUUGUGCAGGCUUGCCCCCAACAUCUGGUUCACCUUGCAAUUCAACAGCUCUGUGCUUACACAAUGGAUUUCUUUUGUUUGUUUGCACUCUACUUAUCCAAUUAUGGGAUUUUCUCUCCUAUAGGCAAAGGAACUUAGAUGAAAUGGAUAUGUUCCUUGAAAAACAUAAAAUGGCAGAACUAGUGCAAAUAUAGAACACUUGAAUAGAACAAUCAAUAUUAAACAAAUAUUUCAGGAGGCUUCCCUUCCCUGGGACCCCAGGCUCAAGUUGUUUUACAGCUCUCCAGAAGACUAGAGCUCUGUAUGCUCUGGAUUGGAGACCUCGAAGGGUAAGUGGGGACCACUGAUGAACAAGGGGAGUGGUCCUCUGAAGGUGAAGCUGGGCCAUGAAAAGAGGUACCUGAAGCUUGGGAACCACCAAAUAUCAGAACUGGGAGGGACCACAGAGACCACAGUUUCCAGAUUAUUGCACCAUCACCUCUCUGACCAGGCUGAGUGAAUGCCCUCUUCACUAGGUGUGUAUGUAGAGGAAAAAACGUAGCCCAUAUAGGAUUCAGUACCGUCUGCGGUUGCUGGAAUCUACUGGGAGUCUUGGAACAUAUUCUCCACCGAUAAGAGUGAACUGCUGUCCAGAUAUCGUUUCUCUAUCAGUCCAUGGAGAGGGAUUCCCACCAGAAAGACUGUAUCUAGGAAUUAAUUUAUUCAAGAUUAUGCACAUGCUCUAUGGAGACAAGUUUAAAAUGUAAGUAAAGGACAUAGAGGAUGAUCUGAGUAAAUGGAGAGACAUUUCAUGAGAUGACUUAAACAUGAACAUGGUGAUUCUUCAUAUAUUAUCUGUGAUUUCAAUUCAAUCCCAAUAAAAAAUUUCAUUUGGAUUUUUUUUUGAUCAAUUUGAUAGACUUUACUCUGAAAUUUAUACAGAAUAAUUAAA